rnacentral:rRNA from 1 species
CCUACGGGAGGCUGCAGUGGGGAAUAUUGGACAAUGGGCGAAAGCCUGAUCCAGCCAUGCCGCGUGUGUGAAGAAGGCCUUCGGGUUGUAAAGCACUUUCAGUGGGGAAGAAAGCCUUGGGGCUAAUACCCUCGAGGAAGGACAUCACCCACAGAAGAAGCACCGGCUAACUCCGUGCCAGCAGCCGCGGUAAUACGGAGGGUGCGAGCGUUAAUCGGAAUUACUGGGCGUAAAGCGCGCGUAGGCGGUCUGAUAAGCCGGUUGUGAAAGCCCCGGGCUCAACCUGGGAACGGCAUCCGGAACUGUCAGGCUAGAGUGCAGGAGAGGAAGGUAGAAUUCCCGGUGUAGCGGUGAAAUGCGUAGAGAUCGGGAGGAAUACCAGUGGCGAAGGCGGCCUUCUGGACUGACACUGACGCUGAGGUGCGAAAGCGUGGGUAGCAAACAGGAGUAGAUACCCUGGUAGUC